UAUGGAUUUAACUCACAGGCCUUCAGUUUGUUGGAAAAAAGAUUUUUAUUGUGUUAGUGAGGGAAAACUUGCAGGUCAGUGGGCAUUAGCCUUAAAGGUUGGUAAACACUUGUACACUGAAGCAUACAAUACUGUACAAUUACUGACAUAGGCAUGUGCUAUUCAGGUGUCAAAGCUGUGUGAAACUGGAGGGAGAAACUUGAGAGACCGUGCCGGAAGAAUGCUGGACAGAGUUCACUAAAAUUCAUUAAUUUCAAAGUUCAACAUGAAUGGUGGUGGUCCACUGCAGAAGCAAGCAUUUGAAUAACAUCAGUUCUCAGUUAUUAAAGAUGCUGUGUUGAACAACUUUCCAGCACCAACAGAACAGGAAGUGAAGGAUGAAAUGGGGGGCAUUUCAAACAGGCACCAGGGAGGACGUGGUGUAUAGAAAUUAGUACAAUUAAUAAGUUGAAGUGAACUGAAGAUAGUUUGUUAAUGUUUAGAUGUUAUUUCAUUUUUAAAAUUGUAUUUUGUUAUUUAUGCUUUUAUUUUGUUACUGUUUUUAUUCUUUUUGUUAAAAGUAGUUUUUCUUCAUUUUGUCUUAUCUGAAUUUCUAUUGUAUUAACAAUAUUUUUUGUAAUAAAUUGCAUGAUUACAUGUUCAUGAGAACCUUUUUUAAUGGAUUAAAAAUAAUUCUUUAGCCA